UACGAAGGGGGCGAGCGUUGUUCGGAAUUACUGGGCGUAAAGCGUGCGCAGGCGGUUUCUCAAGUCAGGGGUGAAAGCCCGGGGCUCAACUCCGGAACUGCCUUUAAGACUGCAUCGCUUGAAUCCGGGAGAGGUGAGUGGAAUUCCGAGUGUAGAGGUGAAAUUCGUAGAUAUUCGGAAGAACACCAGUGGCGAAGGCGGCUCACUGGACCGGUAUUGACGCUGAGGUGCGAAAGCGUGGGGAGCGAACAGG
rnacentral:rRNA from 1 species